rnacentral:rRNA from 1 species
UACAGAGGUCUCAAGCGUUGUUCGGAUUCAUUGGGCGUAAAGGGUGCGUAGGCGGCGUGGUAAGUCGGGUGUGAAAUCUCGGAGCUUAACUCCGAAACUGCAUUCGAUACUGCCGUGCUUGAGGACUGGAGAGGAGACUGGAAUUUACGGUGUAGCGGUGAAAUGCGUAGAUAUCGUAAGGAAGACCAGUGGCGAAGGCGGGUCUCGUGGACAGUUCCUGACGCUGAGGCACGAAGGUCAGGGGAGCAAACGGG